rnacentral:rRNA from 1 species
UACGAAGGGGGCUAGCGUUGUUCGGAAUUACUGGGCGUAAAGGGCGCGCAGGCGGCUCUUCAAGUCAGAUGUGAAAGCCCCGGGCUCAACCUUGGAACUGCCUUUGAUACUGGAGACCUUGAGUCCGGGAGAGGUGAGUGGAAUUGCGAGUGUAGAGGUGAAAUUCGUAGAUAUCAGGAGGAACACCGGUGGCGAAGGCGGGUCUCUGGGCAGUAACUGACGCUGAGGAGCGAAAGCGUGGGGAGCGAACAGG